rnacentral:misc_RNA from 1 species
CAUAUGCAUACGAAUAAGUAUCUCUGUUUCUGGGAAAGGGCUUGUUAUGGCAAAAUAUCUGAGGACAGCAAGAAAUCUCCUGCGCGAAACAACGUCACCAGGUGAGAAUUAUAUGGUUGGCUGUUUCUUAUAUGAGAAGGAAGGCCUCGAAACUCUGUAUACAGCGUGAAAUAUCACCUCGGCCCGGACCUGAGAACCUCUGCGGCUUGGGUGCGAGGCAGGUCGUUUCACGCGCUAAGGAAGCGCGAGUGGGACGGUCAUUACCAUUCCAACCGGUUGAGCAAGCUGGCGCAAGCGCGCUGCUUGCCUCCCUACAGCCGAGGGCUUCGGCGAUCCCAGCACGGUCUCAUGUACUCCUGCCAGAGGUAGUGCGCAUAUGAUCUUUGCUCGCUCACGUACGCUCUGGAGCGGGGCACAGGGCAGCUCAUGGCGGGUGCGGGCAGCGAUCUAUCAGUCGGAGACCUCCGGUUCGACGGCUGGGAACCACUCGUCUUGAGACCCGCGAGCGUAAAAUGGCGUUUGACAAGAGAGCACACGCUUUGUAGUGGAUUGAACCAGAGGACAGCCUGGCACGCAGAGCAGCUCGACACCUGCCUCAACUGCGUACGGCUUGACCGCGUGUGAUUGAUGGCGACCGACGUUAUCGAAGCGCUGAAUAGAAGGAUAUGCGAAGGAGAAGUCAGUGAGCGUGCGUCGACGGAGGACGCAGUGUUGAGCGGUGCUGUACUUUUGGGAACGUGUAGGCGACCGCUGGAUAACAUCGUCGCUCGAGAAGGUGUUGUCGGAAUGCUCGCGUGGCUCUUCUUUACGAACAGCUGUGUGCGCCUCCCUGAGUAGCCCUAGUCAGGUCUGCCAGUUCUCUAGAAUAAGGUCGCAUCGAGCGAGACGAAGACGUAUCCCUGCAGAGGUAAGCUUUCGCGCCUCACUGCGACGUCGAUAGUGCAGCGUUCAGCGCGGGACGCUGGAGUCUAAGAGCGUGCUUUGCGCUUUGUCUACCCGCAUCUCCUGCUCUCCGCUCGUGUGACGGGGUAGGGGAUCUGCGCGCACUGGUGCCUCUCUGAGUGUACGAUUCAGGAAACGUAUGGAGUGGCUUUGAUCCCCGUGGAGAGAAUCUGCUAGGCAGAGAAUGCUAUGUUCUCUUUUGGAUGUGCGCUGCUCAGGAUGAAGGCUUCGACACAGGUGGUUCAUCGACCAGGUUAACGCGGAUGUACUGACUCGUAGAUUUCAAGGGGUUAUUGUCUGGCGCGCCUCAGCGUAGGGGAAAGCGCCUUCUCGACCUUCCCGCAGUCUACAGGAAACCUUCAUAUUGCAGAUUACCUACGAUAAACAACGGACAAAAGUAGAAAGGUAGAGUAGGUACAGGCUUUCCAGAAUUUACUGCUGUGGGCAUAACGCCGGUUGGUGUCACGACAUGCUGUACCGAGAACCUCAGUUGAGGAAGACGUUCCAUCUCAAUGUUUUCGGAACGCAAACGUGCAUGGGGAAAAGCUCUAUGAGUGUAGCUGCAACAAACCUCGGUGGGUACGCGCACAUGCGCAAACUUCACAUCUGAAGCAGUGCUGCACUUCGCACAUGUACACUGGGGAGAGCAUCGGGAGACCUGGAAUGACAUUGCGUGCUCGUUUCUCAUCUGGAUGCAAUAACUGACUUACUUGUGGUAUCUGGCGGAAAGAAGCGAGCAUUUUUCCCGCUCAGAAACGGCCUUUAUCCGUUUAAUAUACAGUAUGGGUUGCUGAUCUUCGAAUAAAGCGGAGUUGUGGAGCAAGCUGCAUUGAUUCGCGGGAUGGAUAGAGCCUCGUCUGAUCCAGCUGACAAGUAAUGCAUAUUGUCUCGUUACCGUGCACAACCUGCAAUGAUGUUCUCUGCUCUGCAUGGCGGAUAUUUCCAUCCUUAGAGGGAACGUUCUCAGCGGAUGGCAUUGUUUGAUAUGUCACAAAAGAUGGAAUACGGGCACAGUUCUUAGUGUUGCAGCCGGAACUCGCAACCCUGCCUGCUGACGGUAGCCGGCUCAGACGGUGGGGUCGUAGAGUCAAUUUUGCGUUAGGCCCUUUCGCGGUGCAAGCCUCUGAUAUGCUUUCAUAUAUUCAACGUUGACGUGGUUCAUGGCGAGACUCAGGCACCCUACUCAUUCGGAAAACUCUGCAUCAUAAAAGCUG